AAAAGCCACGUGUCGGAAGCGCUUCGCUCUUUUCCUUGGCAGUCCCCGGCUGGGUGCGCUCGGAUCUCGCCUGGCAUCUGCGUGGGCUGGGACGGAGCCGUGAGAUGCUGGAGCCACUGAAGCAUGAGCCUGGCAUUGCUCACUUGCUUUCCCCGCAGGAUGAGGAGCUGGUGCCCCUGUCCUGGAGAUUGCCUGCUUUCACCCGCGGCGGAGUCCGGCCGGGCCCGUCUGGAGGCACCCUUCAGAACCUGAGCAGUUGUUGAGAUCUCUCGCCUGCUGGAUGGAAUGAAGUAGGCACACAGCAGCUAUCCUGCAAGGGAUCUCUUGCUAAAUGGAAGAGGCUGAUGCUGCCAAGGGGAACUAAUGGACUGGCCAGUCAGUCUUACCACCUAGCGGAACAUGAUUGUCUCUCCCAAGGGGCUGGAACUCCGGAAAGACCCAUGGACUGGCAAAGAAAUGGCAACCGCUUCAAAAACCUGGAUCGUUCACUUGCCUCCUGGGGUUGAUGUCCCUGGGACUUGUGGCAUCUUAAAUGGCCUUAAGUGUCACCAUCUGACCAGUACAAGGACUUCUGAUGCAUCCGUAGACAGAUUCCAGAUCAAAGUGGAACAUAGAGCCAAGAAACUUCAGCUGGGACUGGACUGUUCCCUCCGACUUUCAAUCCCUCUUAAAAGCGACGUUUCUGCUUCCCAAAGAGAACGCUGUCCUGCAUAGAAAAUCUCUGUUCCUCUUCCCUUCUCUCUGUCUGCAAGCUCCACGGGGCAGGGGCCCAUCCCUUCUCUUGCAUAUGAAAAUCACCUAGCACUACUCUCCCAUCAUGGGAAAUUGUUUACAGGUUCAACUGCAUCUGUAGAAAUACACAACACAAGGACUGUCCUUUCCAGGGUUUGCGUUCUUAGUAAAAACUCCCCUGUAUAGGGAAUCUGGAAAUAAAACAUCAGGAAAUAAGUGCAACAGUCAAAGAAACUUUUGCCUCAGACUUUUCUGUUCAUACUCUUAGUUGGUAAUUAAAUAAACUGACUGGCUUAUGGUCUGA